rnacentral:lncRNA from 1 species
GAUGGCUAACAUUUCAGAUAUUACUUUUAAGGAAUUCUAUAUUCAAGUUAUAUUUUGAAAACUAAGAUUGUGUCUGUUAAGACCCUCAAGUUGAGCUCAUUAUAUUCAUUAGAAGUUACAUUUAGAAGACUAAUACUGUUUGUUUCCAUUAAGAUGCUCAGACUGGGCUCACCUUGAGAGUGUGUGUGUGCAUUUUACACUGAAAAAGAAACUUUCUUUGUAUAAAUCAUUUUAAAAAACCUUGCCUAAAUGAGAGCAGCUGUGUAUAGCAUGUCUAAGUUUGUGAAUAUUUAUGUAGCACUUAUUUCUGGAAUUUGCAAUUUUCCCUUUCCUUUUGGUCAGCUAUAUUCUUGCAGAAAUCCAUAUUAUAUGGCUGUUAACUG